GGUUGACAACUUGUAAUAUAAACAUUGGAUAGAUCUAUUUAAAUAACGAUUUAAAUUUUCGCGGCAUUGUAACAUUUCUAUUUUAAGACUAUUCAGAUUUAUAUGCGCAUGCGCAGUUGUUUUUGUUGCCAAAGUUUGAAUAUCCGCUAACGAGACCACAAGUGAUUUCUGCAGAGUUUUUAUCAAUAUCUUUCCUGUAUACAGCUUUUACAUUUUUAUCGUAAGUAUUUAUAUUAUUUGUUGUGAUUAAGUUAUCGUAUUUUAGAAAUGUGAGCAUAUCAUGUUGUUAUGAAACAGUACUGAAAAGUUGAAAUUUUACACGUAAAAAAGGGGGAUGUUUGGGACAAUCUAAGGAUUGACCUGAGGAUCAGCGUAGCAUGUUACCAUUCCCAAGAUAUCUUGCAACAUGUCAUGAAUUUUUAUCAUUGACUUUUUGAAAUCAUGUGAUUGAAUCAUAAGUAAAAAGAAAUUUUAAUCGCAUAAAAAGGGGGGCUUGUUUACAACUUUGGGAUGGAAAGGUCAGAAGCUAUAUGUAUAUAGUUAUGCGAUAAAAAUUUCUUUUAUUGUAUGAUCCCAGGAUAUUAAUUGCGAUCAAGUUAUGAUUUAGUAUUUAGGAUUUUCUUGCAGAUUAUACC
rnacentral:lncRNA from 1 species